GACGAACGCUGGCGGCGUGCCUAAUACAUGCAAGUCGAGCGCAGGAAGUCGACGGAACCCUUCGGGGGGAAGUCGACGGAAUGAGCGGCGGACGGGUGAGUAACACGUAAAGAACCUGCCCUCAGGUCUGGGAUAACCACGAGAAAUCGGGGCUAAUACCGGAUGGGUCAUCGGACCGCAUGGGCCGAGGAGGAAAGGCGCCCCGGCGUCGCCUGGGGAUGGCGGUGCGGUGCAGUAGCUAGUUGGUGGGGUAAUGGCCCACCAAGGCGACGAUGCAUAGCCGACCUGAGAGGGUGAUCGGCCACACUGGGACUGAGACACGGCCCAGACUCCUACGGGAGGCAGCAGUAGGGAAUCUUCCACAAUGGACGAAAGUCUGAUGGAGCAACGCCGCGUGAACGGUGAAGGCCUUCGGGUCGUAAAGUUCUGUUGUAAGGGAAGAACAAGUGCCGCAGGCAAUGGCGGCACCUUGACGGUACCUUGCGAGAAAGCCACGGCUAACUACGUGCCAGCCGCCGCCGUAACAC
rnacentral:rRNA from 1 species